ACGACCUUACUUGAACAGGAUCUGUUCUAUAGGCUCGUACUUCUGAAUCCUUAGCACUAAGGAGACAGGAACCUAUGUCUGGUGGAUGAAUUAUGACCGUAGGAUCAGAGCGUGAUUAACGGCUGGAUCGUCCUUGGAUGAUCAGGGCCGUAGAGGAUCGUUCUCAGCUGGCUCGCUGGCUGGGUUGGUCUCACGGUUGUCUGACAGAUU